GACGAACGCUGGCGGCGUGCUUAACACAUGCAAGUCGAACGGAAAGGCCCUGCUUUUGUGCUGUUCUCGAUUGGCGAACGGGUGAGUAACACGUGAGUAACCUGCCCUUGACUUUGGGAUAACUUCAGGAAACUGGGGCUAAUACCGGAUAGGAGCUCCUGCUGCAUUGUGGGGGUUGGAAAGUUUCGGCGGUUGGGGCUGGACUCGCGGCUUAUCAGCUUGUUGGUGGGGUAGUGGCUUACCAAGGCUGGGACGGUUAGCCGGCCCGAGAGCGUGACCGGCGACAUGGGGACUGAGAGACGGAGCAGACUCGAACGGGAGGCAGCAGUGGGGAAUAUUGCACAAUGGGCGGAAGCCUGAUGCAGCAACGCCGGGUGCGGGAUGCCCGCCUUCGGGUUGUAAACCGCUUUCGCCUGUGACGAAGCGUGAGUGACGGUAAUGGGUAAAGAAGCACCGGCUAACUACGUG
rnacentral:rRNA from 1 species